rnacentral:rRNA from 1 species
AUGGUGGAGCUACUUGGCUAUAGUGAUAGCGACAUGGCAGGAGAUGUAGACGACCGUAAAUGUACCUCGGGCGUGGCAUAUUUCUUGGGAGGAAGCAUAGUGAGUUGGCUAUCACAAAAGCAGAAGGUGGUUGCAUUAUCAUCCCGUGAAGCGGAGUAUAUUGCAGCUACAACCGUGGUGUGUCAAGGCAUUUGCCUAGGAAGGCUACUCGAUGACCUCACAGGCAAGGAACCGGAACGAGUGGUGCUCAACAUUGAUGACGAGUCUACAAUCUCUCUAUGGAAGAAUCCGGUGCAUCAUCGUCGAUGCAAGGACAUCGAUACGAGAUAUCGUAACUUACGGGAGUGUGUGGAAGAAAACAAGAUUGACAUCAAUUAUGUUUGCACCAACGAUCAGCUUGCAGAUAUCUUAACCAGAUCUUUGGGACGACAGAAGUUCACGAAGAUGCGGCGAAGGAUCGGC